GACUUGUUUGUGAAAGAGAUGGCUGGAGAAGUGUUCUUUUGAAUCCAGUAAAGGCAGCAGCCGAAGUGGAUCACGCAGGACAGAAGAAAUGUCCUCCUCAAUGAGAGGCGGUAUAAGACUGGGUCUAAGUGUACAAGGACAUCUCUUACCCUGAUGGACUCAGAACACCUUCUGGGAGGCUAGAUCAGGUGACCUUUGAGGAUGUGGCUGUGGAUUUCACAGAGGAGGAGUGGGCCCUGCUGGAUCCAGGCCAAAAGGCCCUUCAUCAGGAAGUGAUGGAGGAGAUUCUGGGGGCCCUGUCCUCUCUGAGUAAGGCUCCCUUUUUC